rnacentral:misc_RNA from 1 species
GAUGAAGAACGUAGCGAAACGCGAUAAGUAAUGUGAAUUGCAGAAUUUAGUGAAUCAUCGAAUCUUUGAACGCACAUUGCGCCCCCUGGUAUUCCGGGGGGCAUGCCUGUUCGAGCGUCAUUUCAACCCUCAAGCUCUGCUUGGUAUUGGGCGUCGCCGGGGAGUCUCCCCGGCGUGCCUCAAAGCCAUCGGCGGUGGUGCCUUUCUCUAAGCGUGGUAGAAUUUUUAUUCGCUUCUGAGUUGGGCUUCGCCUGCCGGACAAACCGGGCCCUCGCGGCCCACCUUCUCAGGUUGACCUCGGAUCAGGUAGGGAUACCCGCUGAACUUAAGCAUAUCAAUAAGCGGAGGA